UUAAAUUGAUACCAGCGCGAUUUCACUUGAGGGAUAAUCAUAGAUAGUUAGAUAGCUAACAUCACACAGUUUAUUUCGUAAUUAUUUUAGCUUAAUUCCUUAUUGUGACUCGGAGUUUAUGCUAGCAGUAGGGAGGCAAGAUGUUGAAGCACCUUCGGAAACAAUUCAGCCCGAGGGGAGUGCCACAAGUGAGGAAAAUCAGUGGAGUUGCUGCCCACCGAAGCUAACACCUCAGCGGCUAACGAAGAACCGUUUAACGUUACACGUUUCCACAGCCCGACGGUGCCACCAGUUUAGGCCUUCGUUUUAUUUACAGCGUCUCCCACAUGUUUAUACAAAAGUACAAAGCGCUCACAUGUGAGGGUUUAAAGACAACUGCUGAUUGGAAUAUAAUGUCAAGAAGAUAUGCUGCAUAUUGUCUGUAGGGUUUUGACAAACAUUUUCACUGGACAUCCAGGAGCCACGCUUCACAGAUGGUUCGUUGCUGACUUUUGAGAGAGCCCUUCCUUACCUGCGAGAGAUGUCUGACGAAUAUCAAUUAUUAAUUGAUAUUGUUAAUUAACAAUUGUUAAUUCAACUCCAACGCUAGCUGACUGCAACUAAUGGUUCCCUUUGAGUGUUUGCUGAGAGGCUUGGGCCGUUGAAUAAUGUACUGCAGAGCCUGCGGCUGGGCAGUAUCACAAGUGCAGCCUAAAGGUGUGUGUAUUGGUGAUGACUGAUGGGGACGAAAAGCACACAGGGGCAUUGAGGAAAGAAGGCAUCACUCAAGCCCACAGCAUUGGAUGGAAGGAUGGGGGUUAUUUAUAAGCGUUUAGGGGGCACACCUGCCUCUGGAAUAUCACUACACAAUACCAGCUACUGUUGCCAGGCCUUCACUUCUCAUCAUACAUCAGCAGUGACUGUCAGACUAAGAAUAACUACUGGAACAAAGCAGCUGAGGUCCACCUUUUAUUAGUUCCUCUUCUUUCGGAAGGCUCCUCAGCUUCCUGCUCUACCAGAAACAUGUCAGUGUUGUCUUCUAUUUCUUACAGUGCUUAUAUUUGAAAGUGGGGUGCUCCUGUGUUUUCUUCAAAGCUCUGAGACAAUAGAACCUUUUUAAUAUUUUUACUUAGAAGUACUGCCAGGCCUGAAAAUUUAACCUGUACAGUCUGUUUAGUGCCUGAUUAAUUUAGAUCUCUAAUGCAAUUCAAUUUGGGUGCACUUCCCCAGAGCACCUGAGGCACAAAAUAUAUAAUGAGUUUGUACUUGUGCCAGGUGAAACAUAAAUGGCAAGCCAACAGUGAAUAAAUAUUUUCAGCACACUCAGAAUGACUUAUCAUGUUUUAUUAAUCAUUAAUGCUAAUUCACAAUUCAUGCUUGCUCUGUGCCUUUACUUGCAUAACUUAUGAAUAAAAACCAGAGCCAAUGUGACAAACAUGUAUUCCCUGUUGGAUGUUCUUGCAUUUAUCUGCACCUCACAGAUGCAGAGGAUAUCAAAGCCUUUAAUGGAUGAGUCGCUGUGGAGACAACACACUGUGGUAUCCCAGAUGUAUUCAUCCGGGGCCCUUUGCAAGAAACACGUGAAAGAAUUGGAGGAUGGUUUAACAACUUGGAGGGAUUGACAUGUAUAACUUGUUGGCAUGCCUACAUCUGAAAUAUUUUAUGCAAGGAUCAGAAACAUCAACCAAAAAAUAACUUGUGCAGCUUUGAAUAAAGUAUUGCUCUUACUGUAA